GACGAACGCUGGCGGCGUGCUUAACACAUGCAAGUCGAACGGAAAGGCUCCAGCUUGCUGGAGUACUCGAGUGGCGAACGGGUGAGUAACACGUGGGUAAUCUGCCCUGCACUCUGGGAUAAGCCUGGGAAACUGGGUCUAAUACUGGAUAUGACCUUUCUCCUUAUGGGGUUUGGUGGAAAGUUUUUCGGUGUAGGAUGAGCCCGCGGCCUAUCAGCUUGUUGGUGGGGUGAUGGCCUACCAAGGCGACGACGGGUAGCCGGCCUGAGAGGGUGAUCGGCCACAUUGGGACUGAGAUACGGCCCAGACUCCUACGGGAGGCAGCAGUGGGGAAUAUUGCACAAUGGGCGGAAGCCUGAUGCAGCGACGCCGCGUGGGGGAUGUCGGCCUUCGGGUUGUAAACCUCUUUCAGCAGGGACGAAGCGUAAGUGACGGUACCUGCAGAAGAAGCACCGGCUAACUACGUG
rnacentral:rRNA from 1 species